UGGGGAAUAUUGCACAAUGGGCGCAAGCCUGAUGCAGCCAUGCCGCGUGUAUGAAGAAGGCCUUCGGGUUGUAAAGUACUUUCAGCGCGGAGGAAGGCGUUGUGGUUAAUAACCGCAACGAUUGACGUUACUCGCAGAAGAAGCACCGGCUAACUCCGUGCCAGCAGCCGCGGUAAUACGGCGGGUGCAAGCGUUAAUGGGAAUUACUGGGCGUAAAGCGCACGCAGGCGGUCUGUCAAGUCGGAUGUGAAAUCCCCGGGCUCAACCUGGGAACUGCAUUCGAAACUGGCAGGCUAGAGUCUUGUAGAGGGGGGUAGAAUUCCAGGUGUAGCGGUGAAAUGCGUAGAGAUCUGGAGGAAUACCGGUGGCGAAGGCGGCCCCCUGGACAAAGACUGACGCUCAGGUGCGAAAGCGUGGGGAGCAAACA
rnacentral:rRNA from 1 species